CUUUUUCUCGGUCGCUAGGUCAGUGGGGGUGAGAAACUGGCUUGGCUCUCUGUGCUACGAUAGUCAGUCUUUUUCUCUCUCCUAUCGGCUUUGCGACAUA